rnacentral:rRNA from 1 species
CCCGGGGCGGCGGGCUACACAUGCAAGUCGAGCGGUAACAGAUCUAGCUUGCUAGAUGCUGACGAGCGGCGGACGGGUGAGUAAUGCAUAGGAAUCUGCCCGAUAGUGGGGGAUAACCUGGGGAAACCCAGGCUAAUACCGCAUACGUCCUACGGGAGAAAGGGGGCUCCGGCUCCCGCUAUCGGAUGAGCCUAUGUCGGAUUAGCUAGUUGGUGAGGUAACGGCUCACCAAGGCCACGAUCCGUAGCUGGUCUGAGAGGAUGAUCAGCCACAUCGGGACUGAGACACGGCCCAAACUCCUACGGGAGGCAGCAGUGGGGAAUCUUGCACAAUGGGGGAAACCCUGAUGCAGCGAUGCCGCGUGAGUGAAGAAGGCCUUUGGGUUGUAAAGCUCUUUCGUCGGGGAAGAAAAUGACUGUACCCGAAUAAGAAGGUCCGGCUAACUUCGUGCCAGCAGCCGCGGUAAUACGAAGGGACCUAGCGUAGUUCGGAAUUACUGGGCUUAAAGAGCUCGUAGGUGGUAAGAAAAGUUGGUGGUGAAAUCCCAAGGCUUAACCUUGGAACUGCCAUCAAAACUUUUUAACUAGAGUAUGAUAGAGGAAAGUGGAAUUUCUAGUGUAGAGGUGAAAUUCGUAGAUAUUAGAAAGAACACCAAUUGCGAAGGCAACUUUCUGGAUCAUUACUGACACUGAGGAGCGAAAGCAUGGGUAGCGAAGAGGAUUAGAUACCCUCGUAGUCCAUGCCGUAAACGAUGUGUGCUAGACGUUGGAAAUUUAGUUUUCAGUGUCGCAGCAAAAGCGUUAAGCACACCGCCUGGGGAGUACGACCGCAAGGUUAAAACUCAAAUGAAUUGACGGGGACCCGCACAAGUAGUGGAGCAUGUGCUUUAAUUCGAGAUACGCGCAGAAUCUUACCAACACUUGACAUGUUCGUCGCGACUCAUAGAGAUAUGAGUCUUCGGUUCGGCCGACGAAACACAGUGCUGCAUGCUGUCGUCAGCUCGUGUCGUGAGAUGUUGGGUUAAGUCCCGCAACGAGCCGCAACCCUUGUCCUUAGUUGCCAGCCUUAAGGUUGGGCACUCUAAGAGACUGCCGGUGACAACCGAGAAAGUGGGACGACGUCAGUCAUCAUGGCCCUCUACGUGAAGGGAUCA